AGUUUCCUGUCUGAAAGCAUUAUUACUUUUGUCCAUGUGGCAAAAUAAUUAGCAUACAGAUGAGAAGUGGUCCUUUGCCUGGGCGCCGGUAGAGAGAGAAGAUGUGCAGUGGAAAGUUGAUUGGAUGAAUGGAGAACAAAUGGUGGGCGUUCAAAAGCAUUAGAAGAGUUUUGUAGUCGUGGAGCAGGUUGGAGAAUUUUCUGGGGCGGGUCAUGUGGAGGCUGUAGCCAAGGACGAGGUGUGUGCGGCUGUUGCCUGGACGUUUGUCCAAUCCACGUUGACAUUUGAGGGAUCACAGCGUGUGAAAAUGAACUCAGAGGAGAAUUGGUGAAUUCCUAUCCAGUGGGCAUCUUCAAACCCUGGUCGACGGCGGAAGAAUAUCAGGUCCCGAGAUCACCCACCCAGCGCGGCAACAGUGCAGAGUGGCCACAUCUGGUGGAAGAAGAAAAAAAUGUAGUUAUUGAAUUCAAUCAAGUGUUUGCAUCUUUCAAGCUAUCAACAAAAUUCCAUCAAGAAAGGUUCCAGUUGGUCUCACAGACAUAUGGAUAUCCGAGGAGCCACCUAAAGAUGGAGAAAUCAAGGCAUAGAGAGAUUAAGUGACUUUGCCACAGUCACAAGCUGGAGAGGACCAG
rnacentral:sRNA from 1 species